GACGAACGCUGGCGGCGUGCUUAACACAUGCAAGUCGAACGGAAAGGCCCUGCUUUUGUGGGGUGCUCGAGUGGCGAACGGGUGAGUAACACGUGAGUAACCUGCCCUUGACUUUGGGAUAACUCUAGGAAACAGCGGCUAAUACCCGAGAGGAUCUUCUGCUGCAUGGUGGGGGUUGGAAAGUUUCGGCGGUUGGGGCUGGACUCGCGGCUUAUCAGCUUGUUGGUCGGGUAGUGGCUUACCAAGGCUUUGACGGGUAGCCGGCCUGAGAGGGGGGCCGGCCACAUUGGGACUAAGAUACGGCCCAGACGCCUACGGGAGGCAGCAGUGGGGAGUAUUGCGCAAUGGGCGGGAGCCUGAUGCAGCAACGCCGCGUGCGGGAUAACGGCCUUCGGGUUGUAAACAGCUUUCGCCUGUGACGAAGCGUGAGUGACGGUAAUGGGUAAAGAAGCACCGGCUAACUACGUG
rnacentral:rRNA from 1 species